UAGCUUCAGCAACACAUAUACUAAAAUUGGAGCGAUACAGAGAAGAUUAGCAUGGCCCCUGCA
ensembl:snRNA U6 U6 spliceosomal RNA